rnacentral:rRNA from 1 species
UACGGAGGGGGCUAGCGUUGUUCGGAAUUACUGGGCGUAAAGCGCACGUAGGCGGCUUUGCAAGUUAGAGGUGAAAAGCCCGGGGCUCAACUCCAGAAUUGCCUUUAAAACUGCAUCGCUAGAAUUGUGGAGAGGUAAGUGGAAUUCCGAGUGUAGAGGUGAAAUUCGUAGAUAUUCGGAAGAACACCAGUGGCGAAGGCGACUUACUGGACACAUAUUGACGCUGAGGUGCGAAAGCGUGGGGGAGCAAACAGG